UUCAAUCUAUUCCGAUGCUUCCACUCAAUCUAGUCGAUUUCACUGUCAUGGGAUGUGAAUCUCUUGAGACAGUGUUGAGUUCAAUGGAUGAUCCAUAUGACAAACCCAAUCCUAGUACUGUUAGUUUCCGUAACUGCAACCAAUUGGAUCCGCAUUCGUAUCAGACAGUUUUGAACAAUGCUAUUGCUGCGAUUGAACUUGGAGCAACUGGAGAAGAUAAUAGUAGCAUUCAGUACCUGUUACCAGAUAUGCCUGGCAGAGAGUAUCGGUUCCAUUACCGUUCUACACAAGUUUCAAUCACUCUUGAGCUUCCUCCUAAUUUGUUGGGUUUCGCCUAUUACUGGGUUCUUUCUCAAGGCUAUUUGGGAAGAAGUGCACGUUUUGGAUGUGAGUGCUACUUGGACAGUAGUUCAGUUGAAAGGAUCUGUAUAACAAGAUUCCCCAGACCCGAUAUGUUCAGAUCUGGCAUGUAUUAUGGUAAUGAGAUUAUAAUCCUCAUGAAGUCGGAUCAUGUGGUUUUAUGGUAUGAUCCAGUAUCUUGCAAUCAGAUAAUGAAAGCAGUUGAAGAAACAAAAGCCAGUAAUGAUGUGAACAGCACCAGUUACAAUCCAAAGCUUACAUUUAGAUUCUUUUUUGAUGGAAAUAAAACUCUAUAUGAUGAAGUAGCAAUAAAAGAGUGUGGGUUUCACUGGAUAUAUAAAAAAGAAACAGUUCCUCCAACAAGGAAAUUGAAGCAACAUGUCUUUGGAACUCCAAUGCCAAGCCUAGAAUUAGAUGUAACAAAAGGCUUGAGGUAAUAAUCUUCUUAGCACUUAUUAUACUAAUUAUAAUAACAGUUAAUUUGGUACUACAUUUAGUUUACAUGCUCUGAUCCAUUUUAUGUUUAUGAGUAGGUAUUUACUUGAAUAACAACAUGCAUAUUGGAUUUGGUGGAGACAACAUGGACACUUGUGUUUGGUUGGAGAGAAGAAAAAAGCAAGAGAGGAAGAGGAGAGAACAUGGCCAAAUUUGGAUAUAAAUUGUUUUCAAUGUAUUCUUCAAUAAUAAAGGUAUAAGAUAAGAUAUUAGUAGUUUAGUACUCAUGUAAUGUAUGAUUGUGAGUUUUAACAAAUGAUGACAUAUAUGCCAUGUAUUCUUCAUUAUUGCUCUGAAUAUUCUGUUUUGGAAUAUUACUAUAAAUUGUUCAACUUUUAUAAGAAAAAUAUCAUUCAUCGUGUUAAAUCAGCCUAUUAUGAUUGAAGUAUUUUUUGUCCCUAGACUUCACUAUUUUAAGAAAAAUAUUUUAAAGUUUGUUCCUCAUGUUAAUUUAUAUAUCAGAGAUGAUCUAACCUUCAAUAUAAGUCAUCUUGCUAGCACAAUUCUUUCUAUUAUGACUUUUNNNNNNNNNNNNNNNNNNNNNNNNNNNNNNNNNNNNNNNNNNNNNNNNNNNNNNNNUUCACUAGUAUGUAUAGCUUCUUUGUUGGAACAAUUGUUCCCUCUUGCUCAUCAGAUUCAGUUCCCCAAACUCUAUUUUGGUCUUCACUGUUUUCCAAGUCACAAAUUUCCUUAUAACCUCUCUUGGAUUUGGACCUUCCUCCUAUAUCCGCAACAAUUUGAUCUUUUGAGGGAUAUAUCCAGCGAAACCCACACUGUUUUAUCACUACUUCUUCAUCAUAUGGAGUUUCGACGAAGAAUCUAAAUGUUUUUUUUGGAUUGUAAUUGGUGCUCAAAUCAUUAAUGGCUUUUCUUUCUUCAACUGCAUCCAAUAUCCGCUUGCAAAUUCUGCAUCAUACCAAAAAAGUACAUGAUCUGAUAUCAUGUUGACCGAAGUAUCUGUAUCAAUAUUAAACCACCCUGCCAUUUCAUCUCUAAGAAACUAGUUAUUUUGAUCCUUUCUCCUGAACUACUUUCCAAGCAACACACAUCCAAAACGUCCACCAUAUCCCAUUCUUCCUUGAGAAAGAACCAAGUAGUAGACAAAACCAACAAUUUGGGGGAAGUUCAACACUUACCAAAGUUUUUGUAGAAUGGUAAUGGAAAAUAUCUUGAACUUUAUUGCUCAUAGGCUCAUAGCAAAUAAGAAGUACCAAUUACCAAAUACCACUUUUUAAUGUAUGGAUUCUGUUAGAAUAGAAAAUAUUAUAUUAUUAUUUGUUGAGAAAAUAUCUCUAUGAUUUGGUUUGUUUAUUCUUAGCCCUAUAAUAAAGGGAUUUAGUUUAUAUUUAAAUAUAUUCACUUGGUUAUAAAUACCAAGGCAGCCGUACAAUUUUAUUAUGUAAAUAAUGCAACUAGCUCAUUGAGAUCAUUAUCAAUAAUAUUCAUUGUUCCUUAUUAUUUUCUCAUAUUGUUUCACCUAACUAGAUAACUUAAAGGAGAAUGUUAACUUGUGCCCUUAAGGGCACAUGUUAAGAAGAUAAAUAUGAAAAAAAUUUAUUGAACUUGUGGUGUAUUCAAUUAUCUAAACAUUAAAUUCUUUGUAUUAUUAAAUGCUAUAUUUCUAUUUUAAGGUAGCUUAACAUGUGCCCUUAGGGCACAAGUUAACAUGACCCUAACUUAAAAUUCAACAGAUUCUAUAUAAACCACGUUCACCAUCAUGACCUCAAAAACAAGAAUAUUCUAUGGAGCGCCGCUAUUCAAAAACAAAGAAAUGGACCCAUUGUUCUAGGUUGAGCCUUGAGAUCAUGAACAAAAGUUAUGAGGCAAGUUUUUCCGGAAAUCUCAACAGAAUUUAUGGGGCCUUUAACAAUGCUUUUAAUACUAGGUUUUUUAAAUUUAAUUUCUUUUCUUUAUGCAUAUUUGAAUUCUUUAAUAUCAUUCCGUAAACUAUCAGAUGUUCCGCGAAAAACUUCAGGUAACAGCUGGAAGCAAGUUUGAGGGAGUUUGGAGGCGUCAGCAUGAGCGUAUAAAACUAUUUGAUUACAUUCUCGGGAUAUUAAUUUGUUGUCUAUACUACAGUAUAAAAUUAUUUCAUUAAAGAGUUUUUAAAUUGCAAUGUGUCAACAAUCAGAGAAAAGACCUGCUAAAUAACAAUCAGAAGAACCAUCACAAUUUGGUUUGGAAGAAGCCACCAUUUUUCUUACACGUUGUAUUCUAGCAACUCGGAAGUAAGAAUUAGAGGGCAUGGAUAACUUUGAUGGUAUCAUGAUUCUAACAUCAGUCACUUGAUUCAAGAAGAAAAAUUUCUCAACUUUUUUUUCUUCAGAAUAGUCAUCCACGAUAGGGUUCGAAAGUGAUGAUGUACAUUUUUUUUUACUCAAGAUGAAAAAGAACCUUGAAUUAUUGGAUUGUAGGAAAACUUGUGGCAUUUCAGGUAAAUGGCAAUACUUGUUUUUAAUGGCAUUAGAAAUUGUUGAUGCAAGAGUGACAUAUUGCUCUAAAUGCAAGGUAAUCAUUUCAGGGACAAACAUUUCGUAAUCUGCUCUAACAUAUCAACCGGUAGAUUUGUCAAUAUGUUGUUCUUUUCCACCUCGUACUUUUCAUGAGCCACUACAUAAAUGAACUAUAAGCUUCUUCUAUAUAAAAGGCUAAAUCUAAUUAAUUGAUGUGUCGAGAACUAUGUAACCCAAAUACAUAUUAAUGAAUAGGUAGAUUCUUAACUACUCAUUCCACUAAAAUGGGUAGAGUGACCCAUCCCAAUUGACACUAAUCAAAACCAUUAAUUUUUUCAUCUAUUAUUUAUGUUAUAGAAAUAUAUAUUUUACAAUAUUAGUAUGUUAAAUUGGUAUAAUUGCAAAAACACCCACAAAUUUUUCAUUCCACUAAGAAAAAAAUAUAGUACAAUCACAAGCACCGAAAUAAUAUUCUUAAUAUUCUGUAAACACAACCACAAGUUCAAUCUACAACUUCAGUUCAAUGAGCUCCCAGGGAUCCUCUUCUUCAUGUUUGCAAAUGAACUUCUUCCUUGUUUUCAACUAAACUAUAGUAUUAUGCUUCUUUUUCAUUUUUGUUUUUGUAUUUGUCAAAUUUUCGGAUCUUAAUAUUGCAACAAAUUGAAAAGAAAAAUUAUAUGACAUCUGUAGAUCAUGAUUUUACGAAUUUAACGCCACAAAUUUCAUGAAUUUUCGACAACCAUGGAUGGAGAAAUCAAUGAAAAACCUUUGUUUAUUGGAUUCACGAAUUGCUCCUUAAAUAUCAUGUUUUGAUAUUUAAGACUUAAUAAUUUUGUGUUAAAAUCAUUAGAAAUUGUAUUCCGGUCGAAACCCACAAAAAAUCGUGUGAAACGGGUCUGAAAAACGAAAGAUAACGAUUCCGGGUCGUGAUCCGCGUUUUGACCCGGUUGCUUGCUGGUCGUGGAUCGACCCGUCAGAGGUUGAAGCGUGGAUAAUGCAUAGGUUCACCUAUCAUAUGCUUAAAUUCCAUUUUUUAAUUGGAAUGUGAUGGAAUCGGGGAUCGAACUCUAGACUACUUAGUCAUAGAGGCUCUGAUAUUAUGUCAAAUAACCAAUUAUCCCAAAAGUUUAAGCUGUUAGAAUAAAGUCACAUCAAUGAUUUUAUAUUAUUUUUUUUUUUUUAAAAAAAAAAAANNNNNNNNNNNNNNNNNNNNNNNNNNNNNNNNNNNNNNNNNNNNNNNNNNNNNNNNNNNNNNNNNNNNNNUGAUGUCAAUACUUUUGCAUCAAAUAAAUAAAUAAAUUGAUUAGGUAAUAUAAUUGGUAUGUGAUUGGGUCAGUUGUGUUAAUAAAAUAUUUGUACACAUUAGACAUUAAUUAAUUAAUUUGUGGAUGAAGUCUAGCCAUGUAAAGUCUUUUUUAAAUUUUUUUUUGGAUCACUAUAGAUGCGGUGGUAAUUAAUCACCAUUCGAAAAAUAUUCAGCCAUCGUAUCUAAUAUGCUCCAUUAUUUAUAAUCUCAUUUUAUUUAAUUUGUUUUCUCUACAAUAAAUACUUACCUAAGGAGGGAUAUGUGGAGCUUGCAGAAAGAGCAAUUGAUCAUGCCCAAGGCAACCCUUUAGCUUUGAAAGUAUUUGGAUCAUUUCUUCGUGGCAAAAGUAAANNNNNNNNNNNNNNNNNNNNNNNNNNNNNNNNNNNCUAAAGGAAAUUCCCAAUGGAAAAAUUGAUAGGAUAUUGAGAUGGAGUUAUGAUGAAUUGGAUGAUCAAGAGAAAAAUACAUUUCUAGACAUUGCAUGCUUUUUCAAAGGACAUAAAAGGGAUUGGGUAACAAAAAUAUUAAAUGAGUGUGGUUUCUUNNNNNNNNNUAAGAACUCUUUUAGACAAGGCUCUUAUAAGAGUUGACUUUGAAAAUUGCAUACAAAUGCAUGACUUGAUACAAGAAAUGGGAAAACAAAUUGUUCGUGAAGAAUCUCUUAAAAAUCCCGAACAACGGAGUAGAUUAUGUGAUCCUAAGGAAGUUGGUGACAUGUUGAAAAAUAAUAGAGUAAGAGAUGAUACCCUCAUUUGACUUUCUUUACAGAAAAUGCAACUUACUAUAGAAAUACUAACUCUGAGUUUUUUUUUCCAGGGAACUAAGAUUGUUGAAGCCAUAUUUUUUAAUGCUGAUGAAUAUACAAAUAUAAAUUUAAGCCCCAAAGCAUUUAAAAAAAUGGUAAAGCUAAGGUUACUUGCUAUUCAAGACCGAAAGGGAUAUGUAAGCCUUCCAUAUGGUCUUGACUUAUUGUCAACAAAUUUGAGAUAUUUUUCUUGGCAUGGAUAUCCAUUGAAGACUCUACCUCCAGCCUUUUGUCCUGAAAUGCUUGUGGAGCUUUGUUUGAAAGAAAGCAAUGUACAAAAACUUUGGAAAGGAGUACUGGUAUGCAUUGUCCAUGUAUUUAUUAUUAUACUUCUAUUUUUAUAAUUUUUUAAAAUAGUUCUUUAGCAUUUCUGAACUUUCAUAUAUAAAACUUUUUUUUUUAUACAUGUUACAUUCAAAACAUAAAAAGACAUUUAGCAUCUGAUGGUUUUCUUUUAAUAAUUAUCAUAAAAAAUAUUUUAAAAAUGUGAUAAUGAAUAUGAGACAUAUUGUACUUGUGUAUUUCUCAAUUAAAAAAAAAAUAUUCUCUAAAAAAUAAUCAAUUACCUUCUAUGAUAAAUAUUUUUACUAUUUAGAAAAUUUCAUUUAAUACUCCUUUCGAUUCUUUUUAUAUGAGAGAUACGGGUCAAAAUAAUUGAUGUAAUUUGUGAUGGUUCCUAGAUUUCCUCACAAAUAUUUUGCAAAGCGUGAUUUAGAAGGGUCUCAGUUUGUCACUAAAUCCGUCGCUAAUUUAGUUUGUGACGGAAUUUUACUAUGUUAACGACGGAUUCUUGCCCUCACUAAAUUUAAUUUUUCUAGUGGUGAAUUUUUGUUAACUCAUAUGGCUCUUAUUAAGAAGAACAAAAGGUAUAUUUUUCCCUAUAAAGAUUAAAAGUCAAAGAAAAUUAAUUUUAUAGUGACAAAAAAAAAAUCAAUUUUAUAGGAAAAAAAAAACCUAUUUAAUCUUCAAAUGUACUUUUUAGUGAACACUCAUCACAUACCUUAAAGUUUUGUUGGAUAUAGUAGCACUCAAAUAUACAAUCAUUUAAUAUCAUAUCAUUUUUAUGUUUAAUUUUUUUAAAAUUAAAUUUAACUUAAGACAUGUUAAGAAAGUAAAUGUUAAAUUUUAAUCUUAAAAUGUGUGUUAAAAAAACAAUAUUUAAACUUUAAAGAGCUAAACAUACACACACAAAAAAAAAACUAAGCACAAUUUUUAAUAUAAAAUUUUUAUUUUUAUUUUCUUAACAUGUGGUCUUAAGACACUAUUACUAAAACCCUUAAAUUAUACUCACGUCCUAAAGAAGUUUCCUUACCUUUGUUAGUGGUUUCCAAUUGGAGUGGUUGCCAAUUGGGAAUUCUAGGAUUUAAGAAAAUGUAGUAAUUAAUUUGUUUGACUAAUUGUAUAUUGUUACAGCAUUUGCCAAAUUUAGAGAGACUUGACCUCAGUCGCUCCAAAAAAUUGAUAGAGUGCCCAAAUGUGUCUGGUUGCCCGAAUCUAAAAGUUUUAAUACUUGAUAAUUGUGAUAGCUUGCCUGAAGUUGAUUCAUCAAUUUUCCUUCUCCAAAAGCUUGAACGAUUAUGGAUGGCUGAAUGUACGUCACUAAAGAGCCUUUCCAGUAACACUUGUUCACCAGCCCUCACUGAAUUAGAUGCAACGCAUUGCAUCAAUCUCCAAGAGUUCUCAGUCACAUUUGCUUCCACUGAUGGUUUGGUUUUGUUUUUACCAGAUAGUUGGAAUGGGAAUGAACUUCCAUCAUCAAUAUUGAAUAAAACAAAUCUUGGAACCUUUCAAUUUCCUUUGAUUGAAUGUCUUGUCGAUCUUCCUGAAAACUUUGCCAAUUGUAUUUCCCUCCAUGGUCCACGAAAUCGUGAACUUGACCAUUCCAUCACCUUACAUAAAUUACUUUCUAGUCCUGCUUUCACCACUUUAAAACACUUAAUCAUUUCUAGUAUCCCUAUGUUGUCUGAAAUCUCAGACAACAUCUCCUUACUAUCAUCAUUAGAGACUUUAGAACUAUAUAAUAUUGGCAUUAGAAGCUUGCCCGAAACCAUUAAGUAUCUUCCCCGACUCUACCGGCUUUAUGUUAGUUUUUGUGAAAUGCUUCAAUCUAUUCCGAUGCUUCCACUCAAUCUAGUCAAUUUCACUGUCUUCGAAUGUGAAUCUCUUGAGACAGUGUUGAGUUCAAUGGAUGAUCCAUAUGACAAACCCAAUCCCAGUACUGUUAUUCUCCGUGACUGCAAACAAUUGGAUCCGCAUUCGUAUCAGACAGUUUUGAACAAUGCUAUUGCUGCGAUUGAACUUGGAGCAACUGGAGAAGAUAAUAGUAGCAUUCAGUACCUGUUACCUGAAAUGCCUGGCAGAGAGUAUCAGUUCCAAUUCCAUUACCGUUCUACACAAGUUUCAAUGACUCUUGAGCUUCCUCCUAAUUUGUUGGGUUUUGCCUAUUAUUUGGUUCUUUCUCAGGGCUGGGUGGGAGAAGGUGCCCG
rnacentral:lncRNA from 1 species